GGGUUGUGAGGUUAAGCGACUAAGCGUACACGGUGGAUGCCUAGGCAGUCAGAGGCGAUGAAGGGCGUGCUAAUCUGCGAAAAGCGUCGGUAAGCUGAUAUGAAGCGUUAUAACCGACGAUACCCGAAUGGGGAAACCCAGUGCAAUACGUUGCACUAUCGUUAGAUGAAUACAUAGUCUAACGAGGCGAACCGGGGGAACUGAAACAUCUAAGUACCCCGAGGAAAAGAAAUCAACCGAGAUUCCCCCAGUAGCGGCGAGCGAACGGGGAGGAGCCCAGAGUCUGAAUCAGUUUGUGUGUUAGUGGAAGCGUCUGGAAAGUCGCACGGUACAGGGUGAUAGUCCCGUACACCAAAAUGCACAGGCUGUGAACUCGAUGAGUAGGGCGGGACACGUGACAUCCUGUCUGAAUAUGGGGGGACCAUCCUCCAAGGCUAAAUACUCCUGACUGACCGAUAGUGAACCAGUACCGUGAGGGAAAGGCGAAAAGAACCCCGGCGAGGGGAGUGAAAUAGAACCUGAAACCGUGUACGUACAAGCAGUGGGAGCACCUUCGUGGUGUGACUGCGUACCUUUUGUAUAAUGGGUCAGCGACUUAUAUUUUGUAGCAAGGUUAACCGAAUAGGGGAGCCGUAGGGAAACCGAGUCUUAACUGGGCGUCUAGUUGCAAGGUAUAGACCCGAAACCCGGUGAUCUAGCCAUGGGCAGGUUGAAGGUUGGGUAACACUAACUGGAGGACCGAACCGACUAAUGUUGAAAAAUUAGCGGAUGACUUGUGGCUGGGGGUGAAAGGCCAAUCAAACCGGGAGAUAGCUGGUUCUCCCCGAAAGCUAUUUAGGUAGCGCCUCGUGAACUCAUCUUCGGGGGUAGAGCACUGUUUCGGCUAGGGGGCCAUCCCGGCUUACCAAACCGAUGCAAACUCCGAAUACCGAAGAAUGUUAUCACGGGAGACACACGGCGGGUGCUAACGUCCGUCGUGAAGAGGGAAACAACCCAGACCGCCAGCUAAGGUCCCAAAGUCAUGGUUAAGUGGGAAACGAUGUGGGAAGGCACAGACAGCCAGGAUGUUGGCUUAGAAGCAGCCAUCAUUUAAAGAAAGCGUAAUAGCUCACUGGUCGAGUCGGCCUGCGCGGAAGAUGUAACGGGGCUAAACCAUGCACCGAAGCUGCGGCAGCGACACUUAGGUGUUGUUGGGUAGGGGAGCGUUCUGUAAGCCGUUGAAGGUGACCUGUGAGGGUUGCUGGAGGUAUCAGAAGUGCGAAUGCUGACAUAAGUAACGAUAAUGCGGGUGAAAAACCCGCACGCCGGAAGACCAAGGGUUCCUGUCCAACGUUAAUCGGGGCAGGGUGAGUCGACCCCUAAGGCGAGGCUGAAAAGCGUAGUCGAUGGGAAACAGGUUAAUAUUCCUGUACUUGGUGUUACUGCGAAGGGGGGACGGAGAAGGCUAGGCUGGCCGGGCGACGGUUGUCCCGGUUUAAGCGUGUAGGGGGAGUGACCAGGUAAAUCCGGUUGCUUAUCAACCCUGAGGCGUGAUGACGAUGCACCACGGUGCAGAAGCAGUUGAUGCCAUGCUUCCAGGAAAAGCCUCUAAGCAUCAGGUAACAUUAAAUCGUACCCCAAACCGACACAGGUGGUCAGGUAGAGAAUACUCAGGCGCUUGAGAGAACUCGGGUGAAGGAACUAGGCAAAAUGGUGCCGUAACUUCGGGAGAAGGCACGCUGGCGUUAGGUGAAAGGACUAGCUCCUGGAGCUGAAGCCAGUCGCAGAUACCAGCUGGCUGCAACUGUUUAAUAAAAACACAGCACUGUGCAAACACGAAAGUGGACGUAUACAGUGUGACGCCUGCCCGGUGCUGGAAGGUUAAUUGAUGGGGUCAGCCGCAAGGCGAAGCUCUUGAUCGAAGCCCCAGUAAACGGCGGCCGUAACUAUAACGGUCCUAAGGUAGCGAAAUUCCUUGUCGGGUAAGUUCCGACCUGCACGAAUGGCGUAAUGAUGGCCAGGCUGUCUCCACCCGAGACUCAGUGAAAUUGAACUCGCUGUGAAGAUGCAGUGUACCCGCGGCAAGACGGAAAGACCCCGUGAACCUUUACUAUAGCUUGACACUGAACAUUGAGCCUUGAUGUGUAGGAUAGGUGGGAGGCCUUGAAGUGUGGACGCCAGUCUGCAUGGAGCCAACCUUGAAAUACCACCCUUUAAUGUUUGAUGUUCUAACUCGGCCCCAUGAUCUGGGGUGAGGACAGUGUCUGGUGGGUAGUUUGACUGGGGCGGUCUCCUCCCAAAGAGUAACGGAGGAGCACGAAGGUUAGCUAAUCACGGUCGGACAUCGUGAGGUUAGUGCAAAGGCAUAAGCUAGCUUGACUGCGAGAGUGACGGCUCGAGCAGGUACGAAAGUAGGUCUUAGUGAUCCGGUGGUUCUGAAUGGAAGGGCCAUCGCUCAACGGAUAAAAGGUACUCCGGGGAUAACAGGCUGAUACCGCCCAAGAGUUCAUAUCGACGGCGGUGUUUGGCACCUCGAUGUCGGCUCAUCACAUCCUGGGGCUGAAGUAGGUCCCAAGGGUAUGGCUGUUCGCCAUUUAAAGUGGUACGCGAGCUGGGUUUAGAACGUCGUGAGACAGUUCGGUCCCUAUCUGCCGUGGGCGUUGGAAGAUUGAGAGGGGCUGCUCCUAGUACGAGAGGACCGGAGUGGACGAAUCACUGGUGUUCGGGUUGUCAUGCCAAUGGCAUUGCCCGGUAGCUAAAUUCGGAAGAGAUAACCGCUGAAAGCAUCUAAGCGGGAAACUUGCCUCGAGAUGAGUCUUCCCUGGGGCUUAAAGCCCCCUGAAGGAACGUUAAAGACUAUGACGUUGAUAGGCUGGGUGUGUAAGUGCAGCGAUGUAUUGAGCUAACCAGUACUAAUGAUCCGUGAGGCUUAACCUUACAACACCGAAGGUGUUU
rnacentral:rRNA from 4 species